AGCUUUCUCUGUCCACUCCAUGUAUCAACCUGAUAUGGCAGUACCUCCAGGAAUGUUGCACC
rnacentral:snRNA from 1 species